rnacentral:lncRNA from 1 species
GAAAAUGCUGACACGGGACGAGCCACAUGGGCGAUCCUCGUGCGCGCGAUCGGACGGCCCAGAUCCGUUCCCGCGCGCACAGACAGCCCAGAUUGCAUCGCGAUGGACGGCCCAGAUUUAAUCCCAAUUAAAUCGCGAUCGGACAGUCCAGAUUUAAUCUUGAUGGACGGUUGAGAUUAAAAGGCAAAGGGUAUAAAUAACCCCACCCACACCUGACCACAAAACCCUAGCCGCUAGUGCCUCGCCGGAGAAGAAGAACCAGACGCCGGAGGAGCCGGCCGC